GCAGCAGCCGCGGUAAUACGGAGGGGGCUAGCGUUGUUCGGAUUUACUGGGCGUAAAGGGCGCGUAGGCGGGCUGAUAAGUCAGGGGUGAAAUCCCAAGGCUCAACCUUGGAACUGCCUUUGAUACUAUUUGUCUUGAGUUCGAGAGAGGUAAGUGGAACUGCGAGUGUAGAGGUGAAAUUCGUAGAUAUUCGCAAGAACACCAGUGGCGAAGGCGGCUUACAGGCUCGAAACUGACGCUGAGGCGCGAAAGCGUGGGGAGCAAACAGGAUUAGAUACCCGUGUAGUCCCUGUCUCUUAUAC
rnacentral:rRNA from 1 species